AAGACUAUAGACCUGCGGAGUACCUGCGGCGGGAUCAUUAACAAAUCCAAUAAUUGCUGGAGAACACUUGUUCUUUUUGCAAAUAUUAAUCCGCUGGCCUCUCUUAGAGCGGCUGGCUGUGAUAUAAAUGCGUGAUAUGUUGACAGUGUGUGUAUAAGUUAAUAUUGACAACUUUUAACAAUGGAUCUCU
rnacentral:misc_RNA from 1 species